GAUGAAAUAGUUUUCAUUGGCUGGCAGGAACCCAAUGCAAUUGAUUUCAUAGGUUCUUGCUCAACCAAUGAAAUUCAAUUCAUU